UACGUAGGGUGCAAGCGUUAAUCGGAAUUACUGGGCGUAAAGCGUGCGCAGGCGGUUGUGCAAGACAGAUGUGAAAUCCCCGGGCUUAACCUGGGAACUGCAUUUGUGACUGCACGGCUAGAGUGUGUCAGAGGGGGGUAGAAUUCCACGUGUAGCAGUGAAAUGCGUAGAGAUGUGGAGGAAUACCGAUGGCGAAGGCAGGUCUCUGGGCUGACACUGACGCUCAUGCACGAAAGCGUGGGGAGCAAACAGG
rnacentral:rRNA from 1 species